CUUCAUAUGCGCUUCUUCUCGGCUUCCUUAGUUCUUUACGUGCAGCAUGGCAGAGGAGAGGGAGGCUGUUUGUUUCAGCGUUUUAUUCAAACUUUACCCUCUGACACCAAAGAUGACCCGGCUCCGUUUGUCUGAAAGAGAUCUAACGGGUCAAAACACAGGUCAGCUGGAGGCAGGCUGAGAGGAAGAAACUCUCCUUGAAGAUGAACUGGAUCAGAGCAAAUCUAAGAAUGAGAAGCUGGCUGAACAAAGAUCUAAGGCUGCUGUGUCUCAGAGGGUCAUUAUUGACCUGGAACUCUCUGGUGUUAACAUCUGGUAAGAACGAGCCGGCUGGACAAAGAGCUUCAGUCCUGUGAUUCAGAAGGUCUAGAGAUCCAAGCUCCUGCUGACCAGGACCUCACCUGUUUGAGAUGUGGUGAGUCUUUGCCACAUGUCUGUGUUUAAAUAAUGUUUAGCCUGUGAUGACAAAAUCAAAUAACUUUUCUGACACCUACUAUGAGAGCUGGACUCCAGCUCCUGAUUCUAUCUUUAUUCUGAGGCUCAAACAAUAAAUACAUACACGUGAUUCUUGUUUCUUUCUGUGAAUUAAAAUUGAGCUUUUCCCUUUUUACAGGUUGAUCCAUGACUCAACAAAUGGGAACUCAUGAACCUGUUCAGGGCUUCAAGUAAAGGAACAUUUGUGUGUGUGGAAAAAAUAAAGCUGCU